UACGGAGGAUGCAAGCGUUAUCCGGAAUUAUUGGGCGUAAAGCGUCCGCAGGUGGCUGUGUAAGUCUGCUGUUAAAGAGUGAGGCUCAACCUCAUAAAGGCAGUGGAAACUACAUGGCUAGAGUGCGUUCGGGGCAGAGGGAAUUCCUGGUGUAGCGGUGAAAUGCGUAGAGAUCAGGAAGAACACCGGUGGCGAAAGCGCUCUGCUAGGCCGCAACUGACACUGAGGGACGAAAGCUAGGGGAGCGAAAGGG
rnacentral:rRNA from 1 species